GACGAACGCUGGCGGCGUGCUUAACACAUGCAAGUCGAACGGAAAGGCCCCUUUGGGGGUACUCGAGUGGCGACCGGGUGCGUAACACGUGAGUAACCUGCCCUUGACUUCGGGAUAACUUCAGGAAACUGGGGCUAAUACCGGAUAGGAAUCCUUGCUGCAUGGUGGGGGUUGGAAAGCUUCGGCGGUUUUGGAUGGACUCGCGGCUUAUCAGCUUGUUGGUGGGGUAGUGGCUUACCAAGGCUUUGUCGGGUAGCCGGCCUGAGAGGGCGACCGGCCACAUUGGGGCUGAGAUACGGCCCAGACUCCUACGGGAGGCAGCAGUGGGGAAUAUUGCACAAUGGGCGGAAGCCUGAUGCAGCAACGCCGCGUGCGGGAUGACGGCCUUCGGGUUGUAAACCGCUUUCAGCAGGGGCGAAGCUUGUGGUGACGGUACCUGCAGAAGAAGCACCGGCUAACUACGUG
rnacentral:rRNA from 1 species